GACAGAGGGGGCAAGCGUUGUCCGGACUGACUGGGCGUAAAGCGCGCGCAGGCGGUCAGAGGCGUCGGUGCUCAAAGUCCACCGCUUAACGGUGGGAGGCGUGCCGAUACGCUCUGACUGGAGGGCGGGCGAGGGUGGUGGAAUUGCCGGUGUAGUGGUGAAAUGCGUAGAGAUCAGGAAGAACACCGGUGGCGAAAGCGCUCUGCUGGACCUUAACUGACACUGAGGGACGAAAGCUAGGGGAGCGAAUGGG
rnacentral:rRNA from 1 species